rnacentral:rRNA from 1 species
GACGAACGCUGGCGGCGUGCCUAAUACAUGCAAGUCGAGCGCGAGAUUGAGGAGCUUGCUCCUCAUGAUCGAGCGGCGGACGGGUGAGUAACACGUAGGCAACCUACCCUUGAGAUUGGGAUAACUACCGGAAACGGUAGCUAAUACCGGAUACGACUUUUCCACAUAAGUGGAAUGGUUAAAAGGCGGAUUUAUCUGCCGCUCAUGGAUGGGCCUGCGGUGCAUUAGCUAGUUGGUGAGGUAGUGGCUCACCAAGGCGACGAUGCAUAGCCGACCUGAGAGGGUGAUCGGCCACACUGGGACUGAGACACGGCCCAGACUCCUACGGGAGGCAGCAGUAGGGAAUCUUCCGCAAUGGACGAAAGUCUGACGGAGCAACGCCGCGUGAGUGAUGAAGGGUUUCGGCUCGUAAAACUCUGUUGUUAAGGAAGAACAAAUUUGUUAGUAACUAAACAAGUCUUGACGGUACCUAACCAGAAAGCCACGGCUAACUACGUGCCAGCCGCCGCAGUAA